rnacentral:rRNA from 1 species
CGAACGGGUGAGGAACACGUGAAGAAUCUGCCCUCCACUUUGGGAUAACUCCGGGAAACCGGGGCUAAUACCGAAUACUGAAACAUAAGUGGCAUCACUGAGUUUUGAAAGAAUUUCGGUGGAGGAUGACUUCGCGGCCUAUCAGCUUGUUGGUGAGGUAAUGGCUCACCAAGGCGACGACGGGUAGCCGGCCUGAGAGGGCGACCGGCCACACUGGGACUGAGACACGGCCCAGACUCCUACGGGAGGCAGCAGUGGGGAAUAUUGGGCAAUGGACGAAAGUCUGACCCAGCGACGCCGCGUGCGGGAUGAAGGCCUUCGGGUUGUAAACCGCUUUCAGCAGGGAAGAAGCGAAAGUGACGGUACCUGCAAAAGAAGCACCGGCUAACUAUGUGCCAGCAGCCGCGGUAAUACAUAGGGUGCAAGCGUUGUCCGGAAUUAUUGGGCGUAAAGAGCUCGUAGGUCGUUAAUUACGUCGGGUGUGAAAAUCUGGGGCUCAACCCCAGACCUGCACUCGAUACGGGUUAGCUAGAGUUUGGUAGGGGAGACUGGAAUUCCUGGUGUAGCGGUGGAAUGCGCAGAUAUCAGGAGGAACACCAAUGGCGAAGGCAGGUCUCUGGGCCAAUACUGACACUGAGGAGCGAAAGCGC